AAUAUGAUAGCAGAAUACACAUGUGAAAUGUUUUGAGGUUAUACAUAAUUGAAUUAAGAAAUAUUAAUAAUUUUAGAAUUUUCUCGUGAAAUGUAGCUAUUGUAAACAAACCUGUUUAAAUAAAAAAGCUGCCCAACAUUUAUGUAUUCGAGAAUUUGACGAAUUUUUUGUUGAUCCAGAUACAUAUGAAUUUUGGGCAUACGAUGGUAAUAAAAUUGUUUCUGAAUUAUCUGACGAGCAUUUUGCUCAAUUAGAAAAUAUUGCUAAUAAGGAAAAUGCCAGUAUUAAUAUCAACCAAAGUAUCUCCAAUAAAAAAGUAAAAACAUCCAAAAAAACCAAGGCUCCUCUUAAUGUUGUUCAAUUAAAACUUGACCAAGAAGAGCAACUGAUUUUUGAAGUUAUGAACAGGAUACUUCUGUGGGAUUUUACAAUCCCAUUAAAAGGAGCAAAAUCAUAAAAACCAAACUAUGGUUAGAAGUAUCUGACUCACUUAAAGGUGCUUUUACCCCAGAUGGUGCUAAAAAAAAGUUUAAGGCAUUAACUGACACAUUUAGAAAAAUCAUUCGGGAUGAGCAAUGUC